UGGGGAAUUUUGGACAAUGGGGGCAACCCUGAUCCAGCAAUGCCGCGUGUGUGAAGAAGGCCUUCGGGUUGUAAAGCACUUUUGUCCGGGAAGAAAUCGCACCUGAUAAUACCGGGUGUGGAUGACGGUACCGGAAGAAUAAGGACCGGCUAACUACGUGCCAGCAGCCGCGGUAAUACGUAGGGUCCAAGCGUUAAUCGGAAUUACUGGGCGUAAAGCGUGCGCAGGCGGUUGUGCAAGACCGAUGUGAAAUCCCCGGGCUUAACCUGGGAAUUGCAUUGGUGACUGCACGGCUAGAGUGUGUCAGAGGGGAGUAGAAUUCCACGUGUAGCAGUGAAAUGCGUAGAGAUGUGGAGGAAUACCGAUGGCGAAGGCAGCCCCCUGGGAUAACACUGACGCUCAUGCACGAAAGCGUGGGGAGCAAACAGG
rnacentral:rRNA from 2 species